AAGCAUCGUCACUGUAUUUGUGCUCCAACAUGCUAUUUCACAUUCGCGUUCACUCAAAUACAGCACAAGUUUGACAAGGAGGGAAGGAGUUGCGUUUUACGUUGUGAUGAAGUGGUGUAAGCUGUGCUGCUACCAGCAAUUGGGUCUUGAAUUUAAGCUCUAAAUGGCAUGUUGAUUGUAUUGAAAAUCAUUUGAUAUUGUAUAGUUAAUAUGAGGUG
rnacentral:misc_RNA from 1 species